AGCAUCACCUCCAUCUUCCCUGGGGCUAGUCUGAACCAGCUCCAACUUCCUGCAGACUUUGGGACAACUAGAAGUCAGCAUUGUUUGCAUGGAUGCAGAAGAGAUGUGGAGAAGGGUUUCCUGGCACACUGAUGGAAACGGAGCUCAUGGUGCCUCACGAACUGCCCUAGAGACCUUACACAGAUGGGGGAAACACGCAGUGACCUGACUGGAGGGUCAAGUCAUGAAGGAGGAGUACCUGGAGUGGCAACAGAGAGCAGAAGGGGACCCCUGACCUGGAACAAGCAGAUUCCCCAGAGUGGCCAGAAGGAGGUGCCACAUGACCUCUGUGCAGCUACAAGUGCAUGCAGCCUCUGGGAGCAACAUCUACAUCUCAGCCAGGGGAGUCAACUGGAAGGCCCAGAUGUGCUUCUAGCAGUGCACAUUUGAUGAUGAUGAGCUUUGGGAUUGAGGCUGUGCUGAUGAAAGUUGCUGGACUGGCUGGCAGCCAUGGACUCUGAAAGCUUCUCUUUAGCCCCAGAACAGAGAUGGCAAAUGGAGCACUGCAAGCUUCUUCCAUGCACCCUACCCUACACAUGUGCCUUAUCUGUGCCAUGGAGGAACUGUCCUUAGGAGUUAGAAGCAUGUUCAAUCUCUGUAGCCCAUUCAGUCUUUGGCCUCUCUUGCUCAUGCUGCAAGCAAGAGGGCCAAUCAGUGCUAAUUAACCUGGUUGUGUACUGUGGAUACCUGUCCAGUGGGUACUGGACUGAGGUCCCCAGCUCAUGAGCAUAUUCAUUGUUAGUGAAGAAGGAUGACCUCCUUUUUAGUCAAUCAAGGAGACAGGACCAAAUGUACAACAUGGGUGCCUAGAGAGAUUGGUUAGUUUUAUGUGCACUAUACUGGACUACAGUUGUGCAAAACUAGAUCCCCAAGCUCUAGUACCUUUGAAUA